rnacentral:rRNA from 1 species
GCCAGACUCCUACGGAGGCAGCAGUGGGGAAUAUUGCACAAUGGGGGGAACCCUGAUGCAGCGACGCCGCGUGAGUGAAGAAGUAUUUCGGUACGUAAAGCUCUAUCAGCAGGGAAGAAAAUAGGACGGUACCUGAGUAAGAAGCCCCGGCUAACUACGUGCCAGUAGCCGCGGUAAUACGUAGGGGGCAAGCGUUAUCCGGAAUUACUGGGUGUAAAGGGAGCGUAGACGGCAGUGCAAGUCUGGAGUGAAAGGCGGGGGCUCAACCCCCGGACUGCUCUGGAAACUGUACGGCUGGAGUGCAGGAGAGGUAAGUGGAAUUCCUAGUGUAGCGGUGAAAUGCGUAGAUAUUAGGAGGAACACCAGUGGCGAAGGCGGCUUACUGGACUGUAACUGACGUUGAGGCUCGAAAGCGUGGGGAGCAAACAGGAUUAGAUACCCUCGUAAGG